GUGUGUGUGUGAUUAUACUAGACUAUAAUUCAACUGGCCAGAAUUUCAAAAAUGAAAAUAAUACAAAGUGAAUCCGGGCAUGUCUAGAGAUGAGUUUGGUGUUGAUUGACCAGAAAUCUAUACCUGUUCUCAGUAGCACAGAAUGCUGUGUGUAUCAGCAUUCUGAUUACACAUAUGAUUGUGAAUAUAUAUUUUUUAAAUGAACUUUUUCAAAUGAAGCAAUUAAAAAAAUCUCAGCUACCUUUGAUUAUGCCAAGAAUUUCAAAAUUAUGGAUAUUGCUUUGGAAACGUUUCAAUGAAGCAAUCAGAUUUUAAUUUGCAUCAAAAUAAUACAAGCUGCAUACAGUUGUCCAGAUGGAUUACUACUGAUUCAAUGAGCUAUUUCUGAAACUUCAAGAUACGAUCUUAUGAGAAAAAGAAUAACAGCUACAUCCUCAUUUGUAAUGUUGCACUGACUCAGAACUGGCAGAUAUGUCUGCCACUAUUUCUAAUGUGGCCUGCGUGCUAGAGCUGCUGUGUCUUGGGUUGGAAUAUUUUACAUAAAUGUCUUGAGCAUGUUCAUAAGAUCAUAAAGUUACAGUUGCAAAAAGUGUAUCUUUAAUCCUCCUGUCUAU
rnacentral:lncRNA from 1 species